rnacentral:rRNA from 1 species
AUUGAACGCUGGCGGCAGGCUUAACACAUGCAAGUCGAACGAUGAUUAUCUAGCUUGCUAGAUAUGAUUAGUGGCGGACGGGUGAGUAACAUUUAGGAAUCUGCCUAGUAGUGGGGGAUAGCUCGGGGAAACUCGAAUUAAUACCGCAUACGACCUACGGGUGAGAGGGGGCGCAAGCUCUUGCUAUUAGAUGAGCCUAAAUCAGAUUAGCUAGUUGGUGGGGUAAAGGCCCACCAAGGCGACGAUCUGUAACUGGUCUGAGAGGAUGAUCAGUCACACCGGAACUGAGACACGGUCCGGACUCCUACGGGAGGCAGCAGUGGGGAAUAUUGGACAAUGGGGGCAACCCUGAUCCAGCCAUGCCGCGUGUGUGAAGAAGGCCUUUUGGUUGUAAAGCACUUUAAGCAGGGAGGAGAGGCUAAUGGUUAAUACCCAUUAGAUUAGACGUUACCUGCAGAAUAAGCACCGGCUAACUCUGUGCCAGCAGCCGCGGUAAUACAGAGGGUGCGAGCGUUAAUCGGAAUUACUGGGCGUAAAGCGAGUGUAGGUGGCUCAUUAAGUCACAUGUGAAAUCCCCGGGCUUAACCUGGGAACUGCAUGUGAUACUGGUGGUGCUAGAAUAUGUGAGAGGGAAGUAGAAUUCCAGGUGUAGCGGUGAAAUGCGUAGAGAUCUGGAGGAAUACCGAUGGCGAAGGCAGCUUCCUGGCAUAAUAUUGACACUGAGAUUCGAAAGCGUGGGUAGCAAACAGGAUUAGAUACCCUGGUAGUCCACGCCGUAAACGAUGUCUACUAGCCGUUGGGGUCCUUGAGACUUUAGUGGCGCAGUUAACGCGAUAAGUAGACCGCCUGGGGAGUACGGCCGCAAGGUUAAAACUCAAAUGAAUUGACGGGGGCCCGCACAAGCGGUGGAGCAUGUGGUUUAAUUCGAUGCAACGCGAAGAACCUUACCUGGUCUUGACAUAGUGAGAAUCCUGCAGAGAUGCGGGAGUGCCUUCGGGAAUUCACAUACAGGUGCUGCAUGGCUGUCGUCAGCUCGUGUCGUGAGAUGUUGGGUUAAGUCCCGCAACGAGCGCAACCCUUUUCCUUAUUUGCCAGCGGGUUAAGCCGGGAACUUUAAGGAUACUGCCAGUGACAAACUGGAGGAAGGCGGGGACGACGUCAAGUCAUCAUGGCCCUUACGACCAGGGCUACACACGUGCUACAAUGGUAGGUACAGAGGGUUGCUACACAGCGAUGUGAUGCUAAUCUCAAAAAGCCUAUCGUAGUCCGGAUUGGAGUCUGCAACUCGACUCCAUGAAGUCGGAAUCGCUAGUAAUCGCAGAUCAGAAUGCUGCGGUGAAUACGUUCCUGGGCCU